ACGGAGGAUGCAAGCGUUAUCCGGAAUCAUUGGGCGUAAAGCGUCCGUAGGUGGUUACACAAGUCUAUUGUUAAAGAGUGGGGCUUAACUCCAUCACAGCAGUAGAAACUGUGAGACUAGAGAGUGGUAGGGGCAGAGGGAAUUCCUGGUGUAGCGGUGAAAUGCGUAGAGAUCAGGAAGAACACCAGUGGCGAAAGCGCUCUGCUGGACCGACUCUGACACUGAGGGACGAAAGCUAGGGGAGCGAAAGGGAUUAGAUACCCCUGUAGUCCUAGCCGUAAACGAUGGAUACUAGGUGUUGUCAGCAUCGACCCUGAUAGUGCCGUAGCUAACGCGUUAAGUAUCCCGCCUGGGGAGUACGCACGCAAGUGUG
rnacentral:rRNA from 1 species